CUGCUGCCUUCCGUAGGAGUCUGGGCCGUGUCUCAGUCCCAAUGUGGCCGUCCACCCUCUCAGGCCGGCUACUGAUCGUUGCCUUGGUGUGCUUUUACCACUCCAACUAGCUAAUCAGACGCGGGUCCAUCUCAUACCAGAUUUCUCCUUUUCACACUAAAACAUGCGUUUCCGUGCGCUUAUGCGGUUUUACCACCAGUUUCCCGAUGCUAUCCCCCUGUAUGAGGCAGGUUGCCCACGCGUUACUCACCCGUCCG
rnacentral:rRNA from 1 species